AUAAUAUUAUGAAUAACACUUUUUUUUUCAUUGAUAAUAUUAUGCCUACUCCUAACCAUUAAUGUGUUAAGAAAGAAAAUAUCUCCCUACACUCAAAUGUCCACCGUCUUCUACCUUAGCUUCACAAGAUCUCUAAAGGCUAAAGCUCAUGCCUUUUACCCGUCGGCUCACCCAAGAAACAAGAGAAAACUUCUUGCCCCAUUUCUCUCUCUCUCUCUCUGCCCUAUACUUUCACCAUCUCCCUACCGACGGUCGCAAGCCCCGACGAAGAGGACAACCACUGCUGUCUACCAAGAACUAAGAAGUGAGCUACUCCGUUUACAUGUAUGGCAAAGCAAGUAAAAAAUGGAAGAAGAAAUCAUACCACACAACGCAGAGAACAAAGCAAAUAAAAAACAAGCUACUAAGGUCCGCUUAAGACGCAGAUAACAAAACCUUCAGGAAUUGAAAGAUUGUAGCUUUUUACUGUUCUUCGUUCCUCUCAUGUAUUUGGCCAAAUUUAUUUGUAACAAUUAACUAUUGUAUGCAAAUUGUUACAAAUAAAUGAUUUGAAUAAACAGUUAGAAAUAUUGAGUCCAGAACAAUGAACAUUAAAAAAAAAAAUACCUCUUAACGUUGAGAGCUGAGAUGUAGGACCUAGAAAACAGAAGCAAAGAAAGGAUUUGGUAAAUGAAGAAGGUGAAGUCAGUAUUAUACCAAGCGGUGUUAGAUUUAUCUUCUAGAAUAAAAUUUGAAUUUAUCAUUUUGACAUCUGUAAGUGACUAAGUACUAGGCGGUCGGCGAGGAUUUGAGGGAUGAAAGAGGUUUUAAAAAUCCACGUAAGGGUAAAAUGGGAUAUAAAUGUUGUAACAUAAAUUACUAUUCAUUUGAAGA